UUCAGAUGAUGACAGAAAAAGAAGACGAAGAAGGGGCGAAAGAAAAGAUCUUUCUGGCUUAUUCUCUGAGGGGAGUUCCUCUGGUGUAACGGUGACAGACAGCAACAGGAUGGUUACUGUGUCACCAGGGACACGGACACAAGCGAGGAGAGAGACGAGGGCAUGGAGUGCAAUCUGGGAUGAACACUGACCUGGAAUGGAUCAGCUGUCCGAUAUUAUCAAGAUGUCUUGCAGCUGUAUUUGUGUUUGUGUUGUAUUUGUGGAUGUGUGUGUGUGGCUUGUGUUUAUGUUUGUGUGUGUUUUGGGGUAGGGAGGCUGGGAGUGGCGGUGUUACUCCCCUGCAUUGUAGCUGCAAACUGCCAAGGUCAAUAUCCAUAGUCGGAAUGCACAAGUGUUUUGCCUUGUCGCAAAGUUUUAGGGAGGACACAACAACGCCGGACAUGAAUACUUGCAAAGAAAAAUCACUUUAAACAAUACAAGGGGGAUGCUGUCUUGCUAGGUUCUUUGGCAGGUGUUGCUCAAAACAAAGUCAAACCCUUACAGUGUUUAUCAAUGGUCAACGAUACAGUCUUUGUAAGUUAUUGCACAAAGAUGGAAACAAUAAUUAAUCUUUGGAGUGUAUCUAUUGUUGUAAAUCUGUGAUGCGCUGAAUUAUUCCUUAGAACUGCAUUUUUUCAAGCAGACACAAACAUAAACAUUCAAAAUAAUGUUCUAAUAAACACAUUCCACAUUCAGAUGUCAAAGUGCAUGAAGCCGUGGAGAAACACACACACACACAUAUCAGGGUCCAUAUAUUGUCAAAUAUGUAUCUGUUUUUCGGUCUCCAAAUUAAUAUAGCAUAAUGUGCAAUGUGGCUGGAAUCAUAUAUGGUUUUCCAGUUUUAAAAUAAAUACAUAGAAUAGUUCCAAUAACGUUUUAA